GAUGAACGCUGGCGGCGUGCCUAAUACAUGCAAGUCGAGCGAACAGACGAGGGGCUUGCUCCUCUGACGUUAGCGGCGGACGGGUGAGUAACACGUGGAUAACCUACCUAUAAGACUGGGAUAACUUCGGGAAACCGGAGCUAAUACCGGAUAAUAUAUUGAACCGCAUGGUUCAAUAGUGAAAGACGGUUUUGCUGUCACUUAUAGAUGGAUCCGCGCCGCAUUAGCUAGUUGGUAAGGUAACGGCUUACCAAGGCAACGAUGCGUAGCCGACCUGAGAGGGUGAUCGGCCACAGUGGAACUGAGACACGGUCCAGACUCCUACGGGAGGCAGCAGUAGGGAAUCUUCCGAAAUGGGCGAAAGCCUGACGGAGCAACGCCGCGUGAGUGAUGAAGGUCUGCGGAUCGUAAAACUCUGUUAUUAGGGAAGAACAAAUGUGUAAGUAACUAUGCACGUCUUGACGGUACCUAAUCAGAAAGCCACGGCUAACUACGU
rnacentral:rRNA from 1 species